UUGAAGAUGGCUGAUAUUUUGAAAAAAAAAACAGUUGAAAAAAUUUCUUCUCCAAAAGACAAAAAAAUAAAAAAAAUGUGAGAAGAAAAGAAAAGCAAAAGAAAUUGCAGAGUCAAGCAAUGUUCAUGACGAUGUUGUGAAUUCUUGUGCUAAUGAAUCUGAAGAAGACAUUGAGGAAGAGGUAUUUGUCGUUGUAUAUGUAUUUUUAUUUACUAUUAUAUAUUUAGGGAUUUUUGUAAAGCUUUAUCAAUUGGGGUAAUAUGUAUUUUUUUGUGAAGCUAACAUGUAUUUACUGAUCAGCUAAUAUGUAUUUAGGAAUUUCAGUAAAUCUGAUUUGUGAAGAUGAUAGGUUAAAUAUACAUUUUGGGUUAACAUGUAUUUAUUUGUAUUUUUUUGUAAAGCUACUAUAUUUAGUUGUAUUUGUAUGUUAAAUGAAUUUGCUAUCUAAUUGCAUGUAUGAAAAAAUAUAUUUAUAUAUGAACUACUCAUGAAGAGGUAUUUGGUUAUAUGUAUUUUUAUUAUAAUUGAUAUGUAUUUUUCAGUAUAUUGGAAUGUUGAAAUAUACAAAUACAUUUGUGGUUAUGGACGUAUUUGUAUUUGUGUCGGUAAUAGAUAUGACUUCAUUUUUGACUAAAUAUAUAUUUUAUAGUCUACAUAUAUACAUUUGCAUUACAAUUGUUUAACAGAUAUUUAAACACAUUUUUUCUAUAUUCCUAGGUUGUAUUUAAGAACAUUGAGCCAACUCAAAGAAAAAUGUCAAAGUUUGAAAUACUAG
rnacentral:lncRNA from 1 species